GGCCGCGGUACUCUGACCGUGCGAAGGUAGCGAAAUCACUUGUCUCUUAAAUGGAGACCUGUAUGAAUGGCACGACGAGGGCUUAGCUGUCUCCUUUUCCUAGUCAAUGAAAUUGAUCUCCCCGUGCAGAAGCGGGGUUGCCACCAUAAGACGAGAAGACCCUAUGGAGCUUUAGACACCAGGCAGCCCAUACCAAACGAACCUGCUUUACCAGAAAGAACCCUAUGGCCCCUCGCCUACUUGUCUUUGGUUGGGGCGACCGCGGAGGAAAAAAUAGCCUCCAUGAAGACUGAGAGCACCGCUCUCACAAGCAAGACCCACCGCUCUAAACAACAGAACUUCUGACCAAGUGACCCGGCCUGCGCCGAUUAACGGACCCAGUUACCCUAGGGAUAACAGCGCAAUCCUCUCUCAGAGUCCCUAUCGACGAGCGGGUUUACGACCUCGAUGUUGGAUCAGGACAUCCUAAUGGUGCAGCCGCUAUUAAGGGUUCGUUUGUUCAACGAUUAACAGUCCUACGUGAUCUGAGU
rnacentral:rRNA from 1 species